rnacentral:rRNA from 1 species
UGACCUCAAAUCAGGUAGGACUACCCGCUGAACUUAAGCAUAUCAAUAAGCGGAGGAAAAGAAACUAACAAGGAUUCCCCUAGUAACUGCGAGUGAAGCGGGAAAAGCUCAAAUUUAAAAUCUGGCGGUCUUAUGGCUGUCCGAGUUGUAAUCUAGAGAAGUGUUAUCCGCGCUGGACCGUGUACAAGUCUCCUGGAAUGGAGCAUCAUAGAGGGUGAGAAUCCCGUCUUUGACAUGGACUGCCAGGGCUUUGUGAUGCGCUCUCAAAGAGUCGAGUUGUUUGGGAAUGCAGCUCAAAAUGGGUGGUAAAUUCCAUCUAAAGCUAAAUAUUGGCGAGAGACCGAUAGCGAACAAGUACCGUGAGGGAAAGAUGAAAAGAACUUUGGAAAGAGAGUUAAACAGUACGUGAAAUUGCUGAAAGGGAAACGCUUGAAGUCAGUCGCGUCGCCCAGGGAUCAACCUUGCUUUUGCUUGGUGCACUUUCUGGUUUGACGGGUCAGCAUCAAUUUUGACUAUUGGAAAAAGGUCAAGGGAAUGUGGCAUCUUUGGAUGUGUUUAUAGCCCUUGGCCGCAUACAAUGGUUGGGAUUGAGGAACUCAGCACACCGUGCUAGGAU